ensembl:misc_RNA Metazoa_SRP Metazoan signal recognition particle RNA
CCUGGGUGCAGUGGCUUGUGCCUGUACUCCCAGCUUCUUGGGAGGCUGAGGCAGGAGGAUCACUUGAGUCCAGGAGUUUGAGGCUGCAGUGAACUGUGAUCGCACUACUGCACUCCAGCCUGGGCAAAAGAGUGAGACCCUGUCUCUU